rnacentral:rRNA from 1 species
AUUGAACGCUGGCGGCAUGCCUAACACAUGCAAGUCGAGCGGAUGAAGGGCGCUUGCUCCUGGCUUCUGCGGCGGACGGGUGUGUAAUUCCUAUGAAUCUGCCUCCUCGUGGGGGAUAACAUCUCUUCGCGGGCGCUCAUACCACAUCCGUCCUGAGUUAGAUCCUUGGGGAUCUUCGGACUUCGCGCUCUCAGCUGAUACUAGGUCGUAUUAGCUAGUUGGUGGGGUUAGGGCCUACCAAGGCAACGAUCCGUAACUGGUCUGAGAGGAUGAUCAGUCACACUGGAACGGAGACACGGUCCAGACUCCUACGGGAGGCAGCAGUGGGGAAUAUUGGACAAUGGGCGAAAGCCUGAUCCAGCAAUGCCGCGUGUGUGAAGAAGGUCUUCGGAUUGUAAAACACUUUAAGUUGGGAGGAAGAGAAGUAAGUUAAUACCUUGAUAUUUUGACGGUACCAACAGAAUAAGCACCGGCUAACUACGUG